GACGAACGCUGGCGGCGUGCUUAACACAUGCAAGUCGAACGAAGUGGCGAACGGGUGAGUAAUACGUGAGUAACCUGCCCUCCUUUUUGGGAUAAGCCUUGGAAACGGGGUCUAAUACCGAAUAAAGGGGGCUGGUCUCGCGGCCUAUCAGGUUGUUGGUGGGGGGAUGGCCUACCAAGGCGGUGACGGGUAGCCGGCCUGAGAGGGUGAGCGGCCAAAGUUGGAAUGAGAUACGGCUCAGACUUCUACGGGAGGCAGGAGGUGGGGAUAUUGCACAAUGGGGGAAAGCCUGAUGGAACGACGACGCGUGGGGGAUGAAGGCUGUCGGGUUGGAAAGCGAAACGGCAAGGCCUUCGGUACCGGAAUAGAAAGCCACGGCUAACUACGUGCCAGCAGCCGCGGUAAUUC
rnacentral:rRNA from 1 species